rnacentral:rRNA from 1 species
GUGGGGAAUCUUCCGCAAUGGGCGAAAGCCUGACGGAGCAACGCCGCGUGGGGGACGAAGGCCUUCGGGUCGUAAACCCCUGUCAGAGGGAAAGAAGGGCGUCGGCGUGAAUAGCGCCGGCGCUUGACGGUACUCUCAGAGGAAGCCACGGCCAACUCCGUGCCAGCAGCCGCGGUAAUACGGAGGUGGCAAGCGUUGUUCGGAAUUACUGGGCGUAAAGGGCGCGUAGGCGGGGAGGUAAGUCGGGUGUGAAAUCCCUCGGCUCAACCGAGGAACUGCGCCCGAGACUGCUUCUCUUGAGUCCCGGAGAGGAAGGUGGAAUUCCCGGUGUAGCGGUGAAAUGUGUAGAGAUCGGGAGGAACACCGGUGGCGAAGGCGGCCUUCUGGACGGUGACUGACGCUGAGGCGCGAAAGCGUGGGGAGCAAACGGGAUUAGAUACCCUUGUAGUCC